CAGGCUUAACACAUGCAAGUCGAGCGGAACGAUGAUAGCUUGCUAUCAGGCGUCGAGCGGCGGACGGGUGAGUAAUACUUAGGAAUCUACCUAGUAGUGGGGGAUAGCACGGGGAAACUCGUAUUAAUACCGCAUACGACCUACGGGAGAAAGGGGGCAGUUUACUGCUCUCGCUAUUAGAUGAGCCUAAGUCGGAUUAGCUAGAUGGUGGGGUAAAGGCCUACCAUGGCGACGAUCUGUAGCUGGUCUGAGAGGAUGAUCAGCCACACCGGGACUGAGACACGGCCCGGACUCCUACGGGAGGCAGCAGUGGGGAAUAUUGGACAAUGGGGGAAACCCUGAUCCAGCCAUGCCGCGUGUGUGAAGAAGGCCUUUUGGUUGUAAAGCACUUUAAGCAGUGAAGAAGACUCCGUGGUUAAUACCCACGGACGAUGACAUUAGCUGCAGAAUAAGCACCGGCUAACUCUGUGCCAGCAGCCGCGGUAAUACAGAGGGUGCAAGCGUUAAUCGGAAUUA
rnacentral:rRNA from 1 species